GACGAACGCUGGCGGCGUGCUUAACACAUGCAAGUCGAACGGAAAGGCCCCUUUGGGGGUACUCGAGUGGCGAACGGGUGAGUAACACGUGAGUAACCUGCCCUUGACUUCGGGAUAACUUCAGGAAACUGGGGCUAAUACCGGAUAGGAAUCCUUGCUGCAUGGUGGGGGUUGGAAAGCUUCGGCGGUUUUGGAUGGACUCGCGGCUUAUCAGCUUGUUGGUGGGGUAGUGGCUUACCAAGGCUUUGACGGGUAGCCGGCCUGAGAGGGCGACCGGCCACAUUGGGACUGAGAUACGGCCCAGACGCCUACGGGAGGCAGCAGUGGGGAAGAUUGCACAAGGGGCGGAAGCCUGAUGCAGCAACGCCGCGUGCGGGAUGACGGCCUUCGGGUUGGAAACCGCUUUCAGCAGGGGCGAAGCUUGUGGUGACGGUACCUGCAGAAGAAGCACCGGCUAACUACGUG
rnacentral:rRNA from 1 species